AUGGCUGCGUUUGCUGCCGUGACCAUGCCACUCCCAGGUCGCGUCUCCGGAUCCCGGCGGCGCGUGCUGGCGCGGGCUUCUGCGACGAUGGCGGUACCGGCGGGGAGGACGCACUACGAGGUGCUCGGGGUCGGCGCGGGGGCCAGCAGCGGGGAGAUCAAGGCGGCGUACCGGCGCUUGGCGAGGGAGGUGCACCCGGACGCCGCCGGAGGAGGCGACGGCGAGGGGUUCAUCCGGCUGCGCGCGGCCUACGCCACGCUGGCCGACCCCGACGAGCGCGCGCGCUACGACCGGGAGGUGGCCGGCCGCGCGGCGGCGAUGAUGGUGCGGCGGGCUGAGGCGGCGGGGCCUGUGUUCCGGCGGAGGACGUGGGAGACGGACCAGUGCUGGUAG
rnacentral:rRNA from 1 species